GAAUAUUGGUCAAUGGGCGCAAGCCUGAACCAGCCAUGCCGCGUGCAGGAUGACUGCCCUAUGGGUUGUAAACUGCUUUUGUACGGGAAGAAACCCCCCUACGUGUAGGGGCUUGACGGUACCGUAAGAAUAAGGAUCGGCUAACUCCGGGCCAGCCGCCGCGGUAAUACGGAGGAUCCAAGCGUUAUCCGGAAUCAUUGGGUUUAAAGGGUCCGUAGGCGGUUUUGUAAGUCAGUGGUGAAAUCCGGCAGCUUAACUGUCGAACUGCCAUUGAUACUGCAGGACUUGAAUUACUGUGAAGUAACUAGAAUAUGUAGUGUAGCGGUGAAAUGCUUAGAUAUUACAUGGAAUACCAAUUGCGAAGGCAGGUUACUAACAUUAUAUUGACGCUGAUGGACGAAAGCGUGGGUAGCGAACAGG
rnacentral:rRNA from 1 species